UGGUAAUUUCUUUAAAUGUGUUAGAUUUUAAAAUUUAAAAAUGUGUUUUAGUGGAUCCAGGAAGUUCAACUAAUAUCAUACAAUGGAGAGUAUUGGAGCAAGCUAAACUCACUGGAAGCAUUAUCCCGAUAACGAAACUCCUCGUCAGAUUCAACCUCACAAAUGUGACAACCCGGAGAGAAAUUUUUCUGCUCACAAACGCUGAGGGAGUAAUGAAGACAACUCUCUUCGAAGUGGUAGAUGGAGAAAUUAUUUUUGUUGUUUUCCAAAUGAUAUAAAAGGCCUAGGGCUAUGACCUUCACCUAGGUGUUUACCUAAUGGGUUGUAAACUUUAAAUCUUAUUUUAUUGGUUGGGGUGUAUUAUAGCAAUCAACACUCAAGUACCCACUCAAUACCUCUCGGUCAGAGAGUGAUUUUGCCCAAUUUGGCUUUCUCAAGUCCAAAUGGGUAUUGAACAAAAUAGUUGAUAAGAAGCUCAAGUCGGGUUUUACUAUCUCUAGGUUCAACCCUUUAAUUGGGCUUAUCAAUCUCUAGAUUGACCCAAUUUCUUGCUAGCCAAGUUUUCCUAGAGUAAGUCUUUCUUUCUCAAGUAGAGACUAAAUCAAAUAGGCAUGAAGUAAUGUUUGCAACCAUUAAUUCUUCAACUAAAAAUAAGAACAAGGCUAGAUAAUAAACACCCAACCAUAAACAAGCAAUAAAUCAAACACCCAUUAAGUUUACACACUAGGGUUGAGUCACAACCCUAGUGAAAAUUUAGCUACUCAUACUUAAACUAGAAGAAACGGGAGAAGAAAUGAUAAUUAAACCCUUAUUGAUAAUUAAAAUGAUGAAAUCAAUAUUCAAAAAGCUCAAAUAGAAAAAACUACUAAAAUGAGUAAAAGAAACCGUCUACUGUAGCAGCUGAUAUCAAAAAUUGACCUAAGAAGGUGAAACUAUUCUAUUUAUACAAAGCUGGAAUUUUCGGACAAAAAUGCCCUUUCGGAGGUUCUCCGGCCGCACAAUUCCAUGUGCGGUCCGCACUUUUCUUCAGCUUGACAGGAGUGGAAAUCUGCGGCCACAUAAUUCUGAUCUGCGCCGCACUAUUUUUUUUGCAGUCCGCAUAAUUCUGAGUGCGGCCGCGCCUUGCUCUUCUGCGAUCCGCACAAAUGUGAGUGCGCCCGCGUGGCUCUUCUUCUGCGGCUGCACAAUAAUUGUGCGAUCCGCACUUUGAGAUGCAGGUUCUCUAAACUUUUUCUCUAACCCAGCUCUUGCGGCCGCACAAUUUAUGUGCAGACCGCACUUUUCACAUUUCUCUGAUGGGAAUUUCUUCACGACCUGCGGUCACAGAUGAUAUUCUGCGGUCCGCACUUUUGAGCUUUUGUGCCUAUUUUUGUUCUUGAGUUCAGAUUACUCAUUCUUGAGUUGGAUUUCAUCUUGGAAGCUCAUCUUCUAAUAUUUCUGCAAUUAAGCAUAUUUUAUCAGUUUUCGGAAACAUAAUUAAAUGCUUUUGGACUAAAACGAAAGUUAAAAAAUACUAAUAAGUAGUCAAAAUCCCCACUUAUCAGAUUCCUAGUCUCACAAAAGGGAAUUGAGGUAAAUCCUGACAAAAUCAAGGCCAUAGAAUACAUCCCGGAUCAAUUGUUUAACGUAAAAGAAGUCUAGAGGCUCACAGGGAGAUUGGCAGCUUUGAGCAGGUUUAUUUCCUGUUCAUCGGAAAAAUGUCAUCGCUUCUUCGCACUACUCAAAAAGAAAAACAACUUCGAAUGGACAUUGGAGUGUCAGCAAGCCUUGAAGGAGUUGAAGAAAUAUUUGUCAAGCCCUUUGUUGCUCUCAAAACCAAAAGAAGGUGAAACGUUGCUAGUCUACCUAGCGGUUUCAGAAGUUGCGGUAAGUACAGUUUUAGUCCGGGAGGACGAAGGUAUGCAAUCUCCCGUUUAUUACGUUAGUAAAAUUUUAACGGGAGAAAAAACUCGCUACCCACAUCUGGAAAAUCUGGCCUUAGCUCUCGUAGUCACCGCUCGAAAGCUGAGGCCCUACUUCCAAUACCACCUGCUAGCUGUGUUGACUACUUUCCCUCUGAGGAAUAUCCUCCAUAAACCCGAGCUCUCUGGUAGAUUGGCCAAAUGGGCCGUUGAAAUGAGCGAGUUCGAUAUAGAAUAUAAACCGAGGAUUACAAUUAAGUCACAAGUCUUGGCUCACUUCGUGGCCGAUUUCAGUCCGGGACUAUUGCCUCUGGCGGCCAAGGAGGCAAUAAUUGUGUCAGAAUCGACAUCGGGAGUUUGGACCUUCUUUACGGAUGGAGAUUCAAACGUAAAAGGGUCCGGGCUUGGAUUGGAAUAGUCUUGAUCAUGCCUUCGGGGGAAACCUUAAGGCAAGCCAUCAGAACGAUUCCUUUAACUAACAAUGAAAUAGAGUACGAAGCUUUGAUUGCAGGGCUCGAAUUGGCCCGAGGGCUUGACUCCGAAAUCAUCAAAAUCAAAUAUGAUUGAUAGUUGGUGGUGAAUCAGGUCUACGAAAUUUUUGACACCAAAGAAGAACGUAUGCAGCAAUACGUGGUAAAAGUUCAUGCUUUAUUGGCACGAUUCUGAGAAUGGUCAAUUACUCAUACCUCGAGGGAAGAUAACAUGGAAGCAGAUGCAUUGGCAAAUUUGGGCUCAUCAACGGAAGUCCAGGGAUCAGAAUCAGGAACGGUAGUACAACUGAUGAACUCAGUCUUGGAUAUUAUGAGGUGAAUUCGACUAGUUUGGUCUGGGACUGGAGAAACGAAAUAAUCGAUUAUCUCGAGCAUGGAAAGUUGCCCGAAGACCCUAAAGCAUUAAGAGCGUUACGCGCCAAAACUGCACGUUAUAGCUUCAAGAAAGGCCAAUUGUACAAAAAAUCCUUUCAAGGCCCGUUGGCCCGGUGCUUAGGAGCAUCAGAAGCUAACUAUGUCAUGAGAGAAGUCCACAAAGGGAUAUGCGGCAACCACUCAGGUGCAGAUUAAUUGGUGCUGAAAUUAGUUCGGACAGGAUAUUACUAGCCCCGUAUGAAACAAGAUGCCAAAGACAUCGUACGAAAAUGUGAUAAGUGCCAACGAUACUCACCACUAGUACAUCAAUCGCCAGAACCCCUACUUUCAAUUCUUUCCCCGUGGCCGUUCAUAAAAUGGGGGAUGGACAUCGUCGGGCCACUACCACCGGCUCCCGGAAAGGUAAGAUUUCUUUUAAUUUUGAGUGAUUAUUUUUCUAAAUGGGUGGAAGUAGGUCCUUAUCAUAAGAUCGGAGAACGCGAAGUGGUUAAAUUCCUGUGAAAAAACAUAAUUUGCAGGUUUGGAAUACCAAAAGAGAUUGCAUGUGACAAUAGGCCUCAAUUUAUCAGCGUAAAAGUUACAAAGUUUCUUGAAGAUUUGAAGAUAAAGAGGAUUACCUCUUCACUUUAUCAUCCGAGCGCGAAUGGUCAAGUAGAGUCAACAAACAAAGUGAUUAUACAAAAUCUAAAGAAAAGGUUGGAAGCAACAAAAGGCAACUGGCCCGAAGAGUUACUUGGGGUUCUAUGGGCCUACCGAACAACGACCAAGUCAAGCACGGGAGAUACCCUUUUCCCUUGUGUACGGCACAUAAGCUUUGAUACCGGUGGAAGUAGGGGAACCAACCUUAAGGUAUUUCCAGGCGAACAAAGAAUCUAACAAUGAAGCAAUGCUAAUGAACUUGGAGCAGCUCGAGGAGCGCAGGGACUGGACGCAUGUCAGAAUGGCAGCUCAGAAGCAGAGAAUGGAGCAAUAUUAUAAUCGAAGAGCCAACCUCCGUUAUUUCAAAGUAGGAGACUUGGUCUUGAGGAAGGUAACUCAAAACACCCGGGAACUCAACGCAGGCAAGUUAGGCCCAACAUGGGAAGGCCCUUACCGAAUUUCAGCUAUCACUGGGAAAGGAUCAUACUAGUUGGAGAACCAGAACAGAGAUAAGUUGCCCAACAACUGGAACGUGGCUCACCUCAAAAGAUAUUACUACUGAAAAACAACAGUCAAACGAAAAGUAUAUGUUGCACUCUUUUUCCCUUCGUUCAGUUUUUUUCCCAAUUGGGUUUUUUGGCAACGUUUUUAACGAGGCAGCGACGGAAAGUAUACUACGAAGACAACAGCAAUAAGAUCUCCGAUGCCAAGGCUUCACUCGUGGGCGAUUAGGUAAUAUUUGGUUCGAUAGCAAAUUCCCACCGGGAAGUUAAGUUUGCUACCGAAUAGAGGUUACCCGAUCAUUCACGAGCACAAACCACUAGAGGACUGUUAGGUAUUAUUUCGCUUGAUAGCAUGUGUUCCUAAUGGGAAACAAGAUAUGUUGUCGAGUAAAGUAUUACCUAACAAUUCAUUGGUGGAAUCUUCGAAGAUACAAGACUUCCAGCAUUCCAAUUCGCAUUCUUCACAUUCAAACAUUGGGGGGGAAUGAUAUGAGGAUACGACAACACUGAAUGCCACGUCAACCGGGUAACGAAAAUUCGGGAAUAGAAUAUAUCAUCGGGACCGGGGACUACGCAGCCAGCCUCGUAGAAAAAAGUUGUACAAGAUAACCACAAGUCAUGUCAAUUUCUUUUCUGCAUAGCAAAAUGCUUAUGUACUUUUGAAAAUAGAAGGAAUUAAAUUAAAAGAAAUCCUUUUGUUUUAAUCUUGUUUCUUAUCUAAACGAUGAGUUAAUUUUGCCAUUUGAAAGUUAAACAUAUACUUCAAAUGUUAGUGCCGUAAUGAACAAGAGAGGUCCUCUUUAAGAGCACCAUAAACCUUAUAGGGCCCUCUCUUAUAAAAACCCUCUCGUUAAAGGGUUGAUUCCGAAAGAAUCAAUGUCCGGAAUCUAGAAUGCCAUCGAGGAAAAAUACACCCGAAGCCACAUACGAAAAAGACGCAAAAAGCAAACUUGCACAGAAUACUUGAGCAAGUACGAAAGUUAAAGACUUGCAUGAAUAUUCAAACAAAAGUAAGACUCAAACGAUACUUGAGCAAAAAAUAUAUUUUUAUUUACAAGGACGCGUCAAAAUGAUAAAGGUACAAAAUAGAAAAAGAAACAAAAAGUUAAACUGCAACGUCUCCGGAAUCAGGAGGAAGAGAAGUAUCCGCAUCCCCGGGAGUAGUAGAUGUUCCACCGAUGGCUCAACAUUUUCCCCAGCUUGGUCUUCGGCAUCAUCGCCUUCCGAUCCUUCUUCAGUUUCCGAAAACUUGGAACUGGAAUCAGAAGAACCUGGAGCGUCAGACUGCGUCGGGAGCCCAUUUUUUGCAGCCAACUCAAGCUCUCGAGCCUUAGCAAUUUCGGCAUCAAUGUCAAUGAUACCAGUCUUGUCCUCUUCCAAGGUUUUUCUCUUCAUGCUAUACAUGGAAUAAGUUUUUUCAACAAUGAGGGAAGCCGUUGAGCGCUUGAGUUCUUCUUUGAGUUGAGUACCUUUGGCGGAAAGGUUUUCCCGAGCAGACCCAGCAGAUUUGAGACUAACAUCGAACUCACAGACAGUUGAACUAAAGAGCCUAUUAUGCUCGAUAGUUUUCCUAUACUUCUCUUCUAGCUGGGCAUGUUUUGUCACCACAUCAGUAUGCUCUUCACUUUUGGAGUUUAAGGCUGCUUUCAAGUUAAUCACUCUUUCAAUGGAGGCAACCUCAGAAUCGGUUGCAGCAAGAAUGACGUUCUAUACUUCUGCCCAUUAAGCUUUGAAUUUAUCAAAUCUAAGCCUCAGCGGACCAAUUUCUUGGCUAAGGUUACAACAUAUUGCUCGCUCUGCUGCAAACGAGCCUCCAAAACAAUGGCCUCGGUAGCCUUGGUUUCCAGUUCCGAGAGGCAGAGAACAGUCUGGUCCCGUUCUGUCAAAAGUUAAUCCCAUUUAGAAGUAAGUUCUUCCUUCUCACGAAUCAACCUUUGAAGUCCAUCAGAAGCAAGAAAGUUGGCCUACAAAACAAGAGGAGGUAAAAAUUCAAGUACAUUUGUUCAAAAGUAGAAGAAUAACAGAAGAAGAAAGCAACGUACCGCUGCGGCGUUGUGCAUAGUAUUGUUCAACAAACACUCCCCCGAGAGUGUCUGAAUCUUUUCCCAGUCUUUUUCUGAAGCCAAACGCUUCAGAUAAUUAGCAAGCUACACCGGCCGGGAUAGCAGGUUGCACCCAGUAGAGACCAAAAGAGUAAUGUUCCUCAUCCUUUGUGGAUCUUCAGAAGGGGCAUCAUAAUUUUGCCCAAAAUUCCCAUGAACUGGGGACUGUGGAGGAGGGAUACCUUCUUCAUGGCCAGGUACGACCGAUGGAUAUGAUGUAGCAACCGUUGUUGGAAGAGUGGAUGAAGAUGGAAAUGAUUUAGCAGUUGCUGGUGGUGGUGAAGGUGGAGAUGAAGAUGAUGGAGUUGAAGAGUGAGAAGCAGCUGCAUUAAAUGCAAUGUUGGUUGUUUGAUGCUCGCCAACCAAAGACGGCACAUACCCGGUACUCAGCCCCGCGGUACUUGUUACGACAAUUGGGGACCAGAAGUGGGAGUUAGCAUAUUCAACUAAAUCAGAUUCUCCCCAAAGUGCUAAGACGUCAUCGUCAGUUAGUGCAAUUGUCUCAACAGGUUGAACAUCCUGUUGAGAUGAUGAUAAUCAUAUCCUUAUAUGUAAAGAAGCUCCCUCAUCACUAGCUUCAUCAUCAUCAUCGAUCAUCACAGUGUCUAUGACCGGCCCGGAAGGAGGACCAGUCAUCAUUGCCAUCGAAGAUGACUCGGGGGCAUCAAUCUUUGCCCUUUUAUUCUUUUCCCUGACCGUAGAGGAACAUUUUCUCUUUGGUUGCUUGUUCUCUGGCCGGGGACUCUGUGAAGAAACGUUUGCGCCCAAAGCAGGCCCGGAGAUGCCUGUUCGAGUAAGUGCCUCCUGAAGCAGCCUCGUCGCAUCAGCAGGGUCAGCCAAAACAUCCUCCUCGGGGACAUCAACUGAGCCAGCAGGUAGACCUUAUUUCGUGAACAAGUCAGAAGGGUUCAACUAAGUUCUUCAUAUACAAAAAGUGGAAACAAGGUAAAAUAAAGUUACCAUGAUAUUUGGCCUUCCACCCGUAUUUAAGGGAUAACUCUUUCCACGAACGAGUUUCGGGUGUUGUGAUGUCCAAGAUCUUCUAAACCCACCGGUCCAAGCCUUCUACCACUGGUGGGGUCCAUCGAGUCGCUGUAACAUACGAAGGUUGAAGGAUAAAUACAGGCAUGAAAGAAUAUUCAGUAAGAGAAAGUGUAUUAAAGGGAACUUAUGAGAACAGUUCCAAGCAACCAGAAAGGAUGAAGCCGUUGUUGGAAUAAUGUCACUGGUGGCAACUGCAACGAACCGUUCCAUCUACCCACGGUCGUUGUCAUCAUCCAUGCUAGUCAACAAAGCAUGGGGGCCAUAUUUAUAGAGAUUAUCAUACCUUCCCGAAAAAUCUUUGGGGAAUAAAGGUUCACCAUACGAGCUAAUGAUAGCUCUUCUCCAGUUUCCUGACACAAGCGUCGAAGGCAGGCAACCAUCCUCCAUACUGAAGGGCUCACUUGUGCCAAGCACAAUUGGUAGCGAAGGCAAAAUUCUGCAAUCACGGGAUCGAGCUCUCCGCUCAAAGAAAAAGCACCCAAAGUAAAGUGAUACGUGAAAAAAUACGUAAAACCUUCCUUGGGAAGGGUCACUCGCUCCGAUAAAUCAGGAGCAAUAAUAUCUAACUCGGGGAAGUAACAGUCCCCCUUCACAGCAGGAAUACUGGAUGGACGAAUAGAAGAAGGGUACCUACUACCAACCCAUGUGCGAGGGUUAACAUUAGAAAAUUUUUGUUCAAAAUCCUUCGAAGUACUAAGACUACUUGGGAUGAUGGAAACCACUGUUGGAGGAAUGGAAUCCUCGGUUUUGUUCUUGUCCUAUGAAGAACUAACACGUUUUGAAGAGGAAGCCAUUGGAAUAGAAGGAAGGAAAAUUUCUAGUUCGAAGAAGACCAGAGAAAGGUUGGGAAAUAGAGAUGCAGGUUAGAAGUUUGAGAAAUUAUGAAGUACAUAAGAGGAGGAUGAUGCGUAUAAGUAAUUUGGCGGCUAAAUUCAUGGCCAUGAUUACCUCGAAAAUCGGCAAAAGCUGUGCUGAAAUCGUGGGAUGACGCAUGUUCGGGGCAUUAAAUGCGGAGAGACGUGCGUCUAAUCAACUGUCAGAAAACUUCAAAGAGAGUUAUAGUAAUUCCUGCCAAAAAGGUGCUUUCUACCAACUUUCCGAUAGCUCAAGAUUGUGUCACCGGAAAGCAGUGGGACUAUCUGUAUAGGGAAAAAUAUGACAUGACACGUGGCUGCUUAAAGGAAGGACACGUGGAACACAAGAUGGGGAUGGCCACCGAACAUAGCUAUUCCGCUUGUCACCGGAAGGAAUAACGAUCAUAAAAGGAGUAUUAAAUGCUUUGCGCCCGGUAACAUUUAAUACAUAAUAGUUUGCAACAUUAAGGAUGAUGGCCCGUUACAAGAAAUUUGACAUUUAUGUCUAACGUUACAUCUUCAUCAAUGACCCUCAUAAUUGACAUUAAAGAAUGACAUGAUUCUAGGACUUCCUUCCCUAGACAUAACUAUAAAUAGAGAGCUCAUUUAUCAUUGUAAGUGACACGAAUUUUCUGGCUAACUUAAACUACAUUCUAUACAGCAUUUUAAUACAAUUUCAUUUUCUCGCUUUUGGUCUCAUCAUUGUUGUGCCCGAAAAUCCUGUUCACGGACUCAUCAGCUCUGUCAUUCCAUCUACAUUCUAAGGCUAAAUAUUUUAUAUUUUAUCAAUUAUUUCAUUAUUUGUUGGAUAAAAUUAAUUCACUUAUCUAGAAAUCACGAACAAAUUCAACUGUACCGUUUUACGGGUAAACAAUAACUUUUUCGCUAUGUCCAAAAGCAUAUUAGGCUUGGCGAUUAAAACUUCUCAAAUUCGUAGGAUUUGUAGUUAGAUGUGAAGGAAUCACUACCUUUCCAACUAUUUCUAAUAGUAUCCUUUUUGGGGCAAAUAGGAAAUAAGUCCAACAUAAAAUAGUAAUUAUUUGAUUUUUGAAAAUUAGAAAGUUCUAAUCAUUGAAAUUAUCUAGUGGGUGAAGAUAUAUAAACUUAGGAAGUCUAUGUGACAAAACAAUCAUUAAUUGAUAAAAAUCUGAAAUAGGUGGACAUAACAGCUGGACCACAACUUAGACUCCUAAUAAUUUUACAAACAGUAUGAAGUUUUUUUGACGUUGAAAUGUUUAUCAAUUCGAAUCAUAUAACAUAAUUUCCAAUACCAUGUACGCAAUUGGACCAUUUUACUCCCAUGUUAUCUAUGUUUAAAAAAAAGGAUGGGGUAAGCAAAGAUAAUAGGGUGCGGCAAAUCCGGCGCAAGUUGUUAAAAUUAGAAACUUCCUAGAUCUACUAUUUCACUCACCCUCAAAUUCUCACUCUUCCCAUAAAUCAAUAUCAUAUAUAUAAGUUAAAAGUGCAUAAGCUGUUAUAUAAGAAGAAAAUUAGAAACAUUCAAUUUGGCCUUUAGCCAAGAGCCUAUUUUGAAUAAUAUAUAUUUGUGCCUAUUAGUAUUUCUUCACGUAUUACAGAAGAAUGUGUAGUAAACUAUCGUCACUGUAUAAGUUAAAGUGACUUACAACAAUAACUACAUGUAGCAAGGGCUAUAUGUAGUGUAUUACCGACGAGUUCAAUUGAAUUCAUAAUUUUUAACGCGGAGUAAAUAUUUAUAUUUAAAAAUUUAUUAAAAUUACAAAAAUUAGUAGAUAUGAACACAUAACUUUAAAAAUAUAAUAAAUUUAAUGCUAAAAGUUUUAAAAGUUGAACCCAUAUGGGUCGUUUAGUACGCAAGCUAAGGACUAAUUUAUCCCAACUGGGAUGUGGGAUAGAAUAAUCCCAACUUUGAUGGGAUAAGGUGAGAUAUUCAGUACUAAGUCUGAGAUUAAAUUUAUACCAUCUUUGGUUGACGGUAUGAAUUUAUCCUGGAAUAAAUUUAUACCAUCAAUCAAACAUGGUAUAAAUUUAAUAUCACAUCUUAUCCCACCUUAUCUCGCAUAUUCAUAGGGUUCAAAUCCUGGAUCCACCUCUGUGUAAAAGAAAAAAAAUUUCAAGUAUAUAAAAUUUAAAAUCUACAUAUAUAUAUAUAUAUAUAUAUAUAUAAUAAUAUUAAUGAUAAUUGAUCCAAUGAAAGAUUAUUCAAUGGUGUUUCACCCACUAGAAAAUCUUAGAAUAUGGAAGACGAGUGACUUCAAUAAAGUCGGUUCCUAUCAUCUUGCGUCACUCUCUAAAAAUCUUAAAAUAGUGAAGAAUUACAGUUGUGUUUGAAGUCUAAGCUACUAAUACCCCCCACUUAGCGUCUUUAUUAGUAAUCUCAUUUUCUCUCUCUGCCUUAACUAGCCUGAAAUGUGUAUGCCUCUUUCAGAACAUGUAGUUUCUUGAUUAAUUAAUUUAUUAGUAUUACUACUGCAACGUAUUAAUUAAAAUUUGAUUAUUUUAUUAGCUAUGUCUACAUGUAUAUGUACACAGUUCUCAUUUGCAGGAGGAGUAGAUUGAAAGAGUGUCUUUUUACUCUUUUUCACGAGUGAGCAAACCUGUACUGAUUGGAUCCAUACUUCUACUGCAUUAUAUUCUCUCUCUUUUUCUCUCUCUCUCUCUCUCUAAACAAUCCAAAACCGCGUUGGUAAAAGCUUAUAGUCAGAGAUUGUGAAAAUUGUUUGAAUGUGAAGAGCACUGUGGUGUUUUCCAGUGGGAGCUGAAAUUCAGGAAGAACAAGAAGACAAUUCUUGAUUUUUGGGAAUUUGAUUAGCAAAGUUGAAGGCUUUUUGCUAUUAAGAAACUGGGUUUCACUUAUUUUUUCUUGAGGUAUUCAAAGCUUCUCUUUUUGCAACUACUUUCCUUUGAUUUCUUGGUUUUUUCCUUGGUGGGUUUUGCUUGUUUUUGUAAAAAGAUUCAAUGGCUUUUACUUAUUGAAUUGAUCUAAAAUGGGGUGUUCUGGAUUUUUUAUUUCUGUGUUUGUUUAGUAAACUGAACUGACUUUACUUCCAUUUUUACUCAACUAAAUCUCAGCUUUUACUUGGUGGUUAAGGAAAGAACUUGUUCACACUCUUAUAGUAGCAUAAGCAUUUAGUAUUUUAGUUUAGUUUAAUGUAUCUGCUUUUGUUCAACUGUUUCUGACUGUGGAUUGCUACAUUUUAUUGCUUUGCAAAUAAUACUGUUAUGGAAGUUCAUUUGGGGGUCUUAUGGAUCUAGUUGGAAAAGUGUGAUUUGAUCUUGUUCCUAUAGAUAGAGUUUAUUUAUUCAUGUUAUUGUUUAUUUAUUUGAAUAACGUUUUCUUCUUGGGGGUUACAGGUUGGAACAUGUCAAGGCCACUCCAUAGAGGUUUGUUAGGUGGGGGGAGGUUAUCAGUUAAUGGCCCUGAUAUUUGGGAUGAUUCUCAGAUGAAAGAUAAAACAGAAAAGGAAGAUUUGGAGCGUAAUCGCUCAGCUGGCGAUCAGACUCCUUUGUCUAUCAAAUUCCUUUCCCGGAUUCUGUUUCCGGAUAAUUCUCCUUCAAAACAAAGUUUGGGUGAAAAUGGCUUACUAUCUGAUCCAUUUAGCCCUGGAACUGGCCGAAAUCGGCUUAAGUACACUUUGCUUUUGAUCAGGCUGAGCUUAGUUGUCAUAAUAAUUCUUGCUCUUACCGGAUCCUUUUGGUGGACAAUUUCGAUAACUUCUUCAUCGAGAGGUCAAAUAUACCAUGGAUACAGACAGCUUCAGGAGCAAGUAGUAUCGGACUUGAGGGACAUAGGGAAGCUAUCUCUUGGUGCUGCAAAUGUGAAAGAUAUGGAAUACUGUCCUCCCGAAUCCGAGAACUUUGUUCCAUGCUUCAAUGUGUCAGAAAAUCUUGAUUUGGGCCUUUCUAAAGGCGAGGAGUUUGACCGCCGAUGUGGACCUGGUUCAAGACAAACUUGCUUGGUACUUCCCCCUGUCAAUUACAAGAUUCCUCUUAGGUGGCCUACGGGUAGAGACGUCAUUUGGCAUGCAAAUGUUAAUAUUACUGCACAGGAGGUACUCUCCUCUGGAAGUUUGACAAAAAGGUGAGUGCAAAAUACAAGUUUCUUUUGCUUAACUAUGGCUGUAUUAUUUGCUCCUGUGCUUAUUCUCCUCAUUUCAUGCAAUCUUAGGUUGAUGAUGUUAGAAGAAGAGCAAAUUUCCUUUCGUUCGGACUCUGCUAUGUUUGACAGCAUUGAAGACUACUCACAUCAAAUAGCAGAAAUGAUUGGAUUACGGAAUGAAUCGAAUUUUGCACAAGCUGGAGUAAGUGGAUUCUAAUUGUUAGGCCUGGUUUCUGGUUGUACUUUCACUUGUGCAAGUUCAUCCUUCAUCCUUCAUCCUUCAUCCUUCUCUUAUAUCAUCUUCUGUUAAGGAAAUUUUUCAUUCUUGUAGUUUGUUAUGAAAUCUUUUUUAUUAUUCUCCAUAGUUUGUUCAUUGAACAUUCGUUUAAAUUUCACUUCGGCUCUUGAAGGACGGCUAUCUAUCAGAUUUGGAAAUAUUAGUUCUAUUUAGCCCCAGUUUUCCUUUUUGUCUGGUGCUGUUAAAGUUGCACCAAACUCUAAUUACUUGAUAUUCCUGCUUCCUUUUCAGGUCCGAACUAUCUUGGAUAUUGGAUGUGGUUAUGGCAGUUUUGGGGCACAUCUCUUUUCUAGUCAACUAUUGACCAUGUGUGUUGCAAACUAUGAAGCUUCGGGAAGUCAAGUUCAGCUAACACUUGAAAGAGGUCUUCCCGCAAUGAUUGGAUCAUUCAAUUCAAAGCAGUUGCCUUAUCCAUCUCUUUCCUUUGAUAUGAUACAUUGUGCAGAAUGUCAUGUUGACUGGGAUCAGAAAGGUACUUUCAUAAGCCAGUUGGAGAAAGUGACAAUUUCUGAUAUUUACCAAUUUGUUUUAAGACGCUUGCAUAAAUAUGUAUAUUGUUAAUAUUUUCAUUUCUCGUUAUCUGGAAAAUUACGCAUAUGCGCAUGUUUAGUACAAAGUUCGGGUAGAACCUCAUUUCGGUCUCACUUUGGUAUAAAUUGGUAACCAAGUGAUAUUUCAUAAUUCAAAAAUGGCAUUAGGAACAUAGAAGAAGCUUCUAUAAAUGCAUCAGGCGAUUUGUAAUGAAAUAAGUGGAAACUUGACGAAUAGUGUUUUACUCAACCAGACUAUGCUCCUAUACAUAUUAUUUAUAUAUUAUAUAUGUUGUGAUGCAGUUCCAAGGCUGAUCCCAUAAACCUUCACAAAUAACACCUUGUUUUCUCAAAUACAGAUUUGUUAUCUGGUUUCUCUGCUCCUCCCCUGAAGAAGAGGGAUCUGACAAAAGUUCUUAGACAUUAGCCAUUUAACAAGUAAUCUGAUGUCCAGUAUCUUUUGCAUACUGCGAUUGGUAACAAAAGUUUGGGAAUAAUCUAGUUUAUAUUGAUCCUUUCAAAUGUUACUUCACAUUUUCACUGAAGAGUAAUGAAUCUUGGGGGAGGCCUUGUCGUUGGUGCUUCCUUUAACUGGUUGUUUCUUUUUUAAGAUGGUAGUGUCCGGGUUAGGUCUCGCGCACCUCGACUAUUCCACUAGGUACCUGUUACCUCCCACCAGCAUAGGUAUCGGUUAACUCUACUAGCCAAGGUUUAGGCUGAUGGGAAGAGUUGCAAUCGCCUAGUAUUUUUUGCAUCCGCCAGUACUUGAACUUAAGACCUCAUGGUUCUCUUCCCACUUCAUUGACCACUAAGCCAUACUCUUGGGUGUAAUGCUUCUCUUUCCUUUUAGGAACUGAUAUGACAUAGGAGCAAACUUUUCAAAGUCUCUGUGAUUCGGUACUAUACUAGUUAUUAGCUUCAUAAAGUUUCUUCCCACCUCUCAAAUAUGCGCCCUAUAACUAAUGUACAACUUAAAUCUUUUAUAUGAUUUAUUUGUUACCUUAAUAAAAUCUGAAUUCUGGUACAGAUGGUAUUCUUCUUGUUGAAGUCGAUAGAUUAUUGAGGCCUGGUGGAUAUUUUGUCUGGACUUCAACUGUUACGAAUACUCAGCGCUCCCUCCGCAACAAAGUGAGCUUGAAAAUAUGGAACUUCGUCCGGAGUUUUGCUGAAAGUAUGUGCUGGGAGCUGUUGUCACAACAAGAUGAAACUGUUGUAUGGAAAAAGACAAGUUUAAAGAAAUGUUAUUUUGCAAGGUGCGCAGACCAUGUCCACAUAUCUUCAUUUUGAUUCUUACCAUUCCCUGACCCUCUAUAGGUGCAAUAUCUUUAAUCAAGGGGCAUGUGAGCAAUGAUUGUGUGACUAUGAAAAGUUGCUUCUAUUUACAGGAGACCAGGUGUUGGGCCUUCUCUCUGCAGUAAAGGACAGGACAUUGAAUCCCCGUAUUAUCGACCACUCCAAGCAUGCAUUGCAGGAACUCAAAGCCGCCGGUGGAUUCCAAUUGAAGAAAGGACAAAGUGGCCUUCUAGGGCAAAAUUAAACUCCAGCGAACUUAAGAUUCAUGGUAAUGGGCUAUCCUCAUUCUCAAAAGUUUCAAAUGUGAAGCACUCUGUUUCAUGUUGUUAUUUAGUUUCCUCUAAACAUCUAAUGAUAACGCUCUGUGUUUUGUUAGGUUUGCAAUCUGAAGCUCUUGCUGAGGAUUCCCUUAACUGGAAUUCAGCAGUUAACAAUUAUUGGUCACUUCUUUCACCUUUAAUAUUUUCCGAUCACCCAAAGAGACCUGGUGAUGAUGAUCCUUCUCCUCCCUAUAAUAUGCUUAGAAAUGUGUUGGACAUGAAUGCCCAUUUUGGUGGUCUGAAUGCUGCUCUACUGGAUGCAAGAAAGUCAGCGUGGGUCAUGAAUGUGAUUCCCAGUAGUGGGCCUAAUUAUCUUCCCCUAAUUCUCGACAGGGGAUUUGUUGGUGUUUUGCAUGAUUGGUAAAUUCUUCUCACUUUCUCUAGUGAAGGAAUGUUCUUGUUUAAGGUCAACUCUUAAUACAUGCAACAUUUGCUUGUUUACAUGAUAUAGAGAAUGCUAGAUGCAUAAAUCUGUGAGUAAAUUGAAUUUGGAUGACAGCUUCUGAUCGUCCUAACUCUGAUUUUUAUAAUUGAUGAGCCUCACAAGUCAUAUUAUUUGGUUGACCAGUACUAUCUCGAACUGGAAUUACCAGAUCACUAUUAAGCCUAUGUUCGUCGGUUCUAUUCAAGGUUGAUCCUUCCCUUAGAGUUGUCACCUUUCACAACUCAUUGGUUCUGCAAUCUAUUCAGUCAUACUCAUAACUAUGUUCAGUGACUAGAUUUCCCUAACCAAGCUACCGUCCCACAGAGUUCCUUUCC
rnacentral:lncRNA from 1 species